rnacentral:lncRNA from 1 species
UGAAUCCCCAGAGUAGCCCUUCCUGGUGCCCAACUGGCCUGGGGACAAACAGCGUCCACUACAUCUAGGACUGCCGGCUAAGUGGACACACUUCUUGACCUCCUACCAGGAACUUUGGGCCCUUAAAGACCUUCACCCGUGUGAAGAAAGGCCUGCACUGAGGAGCUGUCCAGGAUCUAAGAGGGGGAGAUUUGGGGUCAGCAUGGCCUUUCCUCUGAAGUCACCUUUUCCUGGCCCCCACCCUGUACCCACUAAAGCAGUGCCAUCUCCUGGGAGGUAGCUUCCUUUCUGUUUCUGCCAGAAUUAACUGCAUUGGGCAUUGGGAAGGGGGUUACUGGAGAGAGAGCUGCCACCAGAGUGAGGACGAGGCCACUUGACUUCCAGGCCUUGUUCUCAGUUGCAUUCAUCCCACCACCCUUAGUGACUGGGGGUGCCAGGAAACUGCAAGCAUGAUCCUCACCAAAGAUAUAAGAGCCCUAACAGCCUCAAAGCCCCAAGGGUUCUCCAAAGGCCUCAUCCAACAAGCAUUCAAAAGUCCUGGGCACUUUGGAGGGCAAGCUGAAAAGGAGAACAUAUACAUAGAAUAAAGACUAUGAAGAUCUGCACCAAAU